GACGAACGCUGGCGGCGUGCUUAACACAUGCAAGUCGAACGGAAAGGCCCUGCUUUUGUGGGGUGCUCGAGUGGCGAACGGGUGAGUAACACGUGAGUAACCUGCCCUUGACUUUGGGAUAACUUCAGGAAACUGGGGCUAAUACCGGAUAGGAGCUCCUGCUGCAUGGUGGGGGUUGGAAAGUUUCGGCGGUUGGGGAUGGACUCGCGGCUUAUCAGCUUGUUGGUGGGGUAGUGGCUUACCAAGGCUUUGACGGGUAGCCGGCCUGAGAGGGUGACCGGCCACAUUGGGACUGAGAUACGGCCCAGACUCCUACGGGAGGCAGCAGGGGGGAAUAUUGCACAAUGGGCGGAAGCCUGAUGCAGCAACGCCGCGUGCGGGAGGACGGCCUUCGGGUUGUAAACCGCUUUCGCCUGUGACGAAGCGUGAGUGACGGUAAUGGGUAAAGAAGCACCGGCUAACUACGUG
rnacentral:rRNA from 1 species